AUUGAACGCUGGCGGCAUGCUUUACACAUGCAAGUCGAACGGUAGCAGGUUAAGCUGACGAGUGGCGAACGGGUGAGUAAUGCAUCGGAACGUGCCCGGUCGUGGGGGAUAACGCAGCGAAAGCUGCGCUAAUACCGCAUACGAUCUGAGGAUGAAAGCGGGGGACCGUAAGGCCUCGCGCGAUCGGAGCGGCCGAUGUCAGAUUAGGUAGUUGGUGGGGUAAAGGCUCACCAAGCCGACGAUCUGUAGCUGGUCUGAGAGGACGACCAGCCACACUGGGACUGAGACACGGCCCAGACUCCUACGGGAGGCAGAAGUGGGGAAUUUUGGACAAUGGGCGCAAGCCUGAUCCGGCAAUGCCGCGUGCAGGAAGAAGGCCUUCGGGUUGUAAACUGCUUUUGUACGGAGCGAAAAGGCUCUCUCUAAUACAGGGGGCUCAUGACGGUACCGUAAGAAUAAGCACCGGCUAACUACGUGCCAGCAGCCGCGGUAAUAC
rnacentral:rRNA from 1 species